rnacentral:rRNA from 1 species
UACGUAGGGCGCAAGCGUUGUCCGGAAUUAUUGGGCGUAAAGAGCUCGUAGGCGGCUUGUCACGUCGGGUGUGAAAGCCCGGGGCUUAACCCCGGGUCUGCAUUCGAUACGGGCAGGCUAGAGUGUGGUAGGGGAGAUCGGAAUUCCUGGUGUAGCGGUGGAAUGCGCAGAUAUCAGGAGGAACACCAAUAGCGAAGGCAGCUCGCUGGGACGGUACUGACGCUAAGGCGCGAAAGCGUGGGGAGCGAACAGG